rnacentral:lncRNA from 1 species
CUUUAGGUUUAAUAAAAAUAUAAACAUUUUGCAAGAUGUGAAUAUUUCAAUAUAAGUACAGCUGACUUAGUUUGCAUAUUUGCUAGGGCCUGGGGUGGAAAAAUGAUCAUUUCCUUAGGUUUGGCUUGCAUAUAUUUAUGCUAUAAUCUAGGUUUUAGACCCUUUACUUUUGUGAACACAUGUUUAUUAAAUGUAGGGCCCUCCAGAAGCUUAUAGUGCACCAUUUGAGGAGUUCCCAUCAUGGCUCAGCGGAAAUGAAUCUGACUAGUAUCCAUGAAGACACAGGUUCAAUUCCUGGUCUCGCUCAGUGGGUUAAGGAUCUGGCGUUGCUGUGAGCCGUGGUGUAGGUUGCAGACACGGCUUGGAUCCCACGUUGGUGGUGUCGGCCAGCAUCUGUAGCUCUGAUUCGAUCACUACCCUGGGAACUUCCAUAUGUCACAGGUGCAGCCCUAAAAAAAAAAAAAAAAAAAAAGAAAUACAUUUGAGAACCAAGGUUCUUGGAAUACAUUACAAAUAAAAUAGACAAAUUCUCACCUUUGUGUGCAUGAGUGCGUGUGUAUGUGUUAAGUAAAUAAUCUGGUAUGUUAGAAGGUGAAAAGUAUCAUGGAGAAUAGGAAAAGUAGAACAAGUUACAAGGAUCUCUUAAUUUAAAAUUAAGUACUUUUUUCCUCUGAAAUUUGUGAAGAUAAUAGAACUUAGACAUGAAGCAGAGUGGGUUAUUAGUUAGUGACUGGUUGUCUUGCCAUGAGAAGAGAAAACAAGAACUUUAGAUGUUCUUUUUAAAGAUUUCCUUCAGGAGUUGCUUUAAAGUAGAUUUCUCAUUAGCCACUAAAUUAAAUGUUUUCCCACUAGGCAAUUUUCUCCUAACACAAAAUUAGUGGGAGAACCACUAAAACAACUCUGUCAUUUAAUGACAAGAACGUAAAGGGAUGUCUACAUGGGAUGAGAGUAGGUUUCCAUUUUUUGAUAGUUGCUUUUUUUGUUUUUUCCCACUGGAAACAUAUUUAAGAAUGUAUUGGUAGAGGGAGAACUUUGGUUCAGGUAUUAAGUCCCCAGCAGGAGACUUUAGAACAAUUUGUUGGUUGCGUCAACAAAACCCUUACUUUCCAUGGGGAAUAGUUAAUAAUAACAACAAAGAAAUUAAAAGCACAGACUGUCACUUGAAUAAGUAAAUUUCACAUGGAAACUUGUGACAAAAAAAUUUCUCAAAUUUGACUGCUUUGGGAGCCUUCCUUCAUUGUCAUUUGUGAAAAUAUGACUUGCAUUCAACAUGUUGGGAACAUGCUUAAACAUACUAAAGGUCAAUCUGAUAGACUCUUCUAGAAUGUGUUAUCUGCCAAUGGUAUAGGUGUGCUGCCUGCACACACUUCAUGAGAUUAUUCUCAGCUCAUUCAGUUAGAUAAUUGCACUAGCAGUGGUUUUAGAAAAAGUCAUAUCCUCUGCCCAUGUAAAAUCUGUAAUUACCAAAUGCUCUUUCUUGUAGUGCUCUGGAGGAUUUUCUCCUGCUAAAAUGUCAUUGAUUUUUACCAGUAUGCCCAUCUCCCAAGCUUAUUUAUUUGCUUACUAAUUUCACACAUGUAUUUACUCAUUUAAAAAAAUGAAAUAACUUUUGUUUCCUUUAUGUUGGGACGUUCCACUAAGUACUUAAAGAAAAUUUUUCUGUAUAAAAAUGCUUUCAUAUAAAGGUGGGAUGGUGUUAUGGCUAAUCUCAGUAUCCAAUUUGAAUACCACUAGUUCUUUCUGUGUUACAGCUGUAGAAACAUUAAGCAAGGAGAGAUGGAUAACAGUGAAGUCAUAGAUAGAAGUGUCAGUAGGUUUGGAAACAAAUAGAAACUGGAUUAAUUCACUUAAGUGCUGUAGGUGUGAUAUUCAUAAUGAUGGCAAAGAGAAAAGGUGAAAUGUUUUUCCCUAUACUCCUUUUAAUAAAGCAGAGACAUUUUUAAUACAUUUCAGAAGUAUUUAAAUACAGUGGUCCUUUAUAUAAAGUCAGUAAUAUAUUAUUGAUAAUAAUUACUUACAUUUACAUAUUUAAGUAGUUUGCAAAGUCUUAAGAGUUCCUUUAUAAAGAAAAUUGUGUGGAUAAUUUUGUUUUUAGGCAUGUAUGGAUAAGUUAUACCAUUGCAGAUUUUAUUCAAUCUAUUUUUUAAUUGUUCCAUGUAUAUUUAGCUUACUGCUCUGCUGCAAACCUGUUUGCUUUCUGCAAAGAAUUUCCUAUACUUUAGAGAGUUGCAGUGCAAUUAAUGAGUAUAUUUAUAAUCAUUCUAAAUGCUCAAUGUAUGAUGUGUAAAUCACUCUUCUACCUACAUACGAGUUCUACUUUAGUACUAAUCACGUGGAAUUAUCUUACACAUAUUGGUGGAUGUCUCGUUUCUAACUUAAUUUCAUCCCAUAGAGUUGGAAUUAUGUUUUAUUUUCUUCAGUUUUAUAUCUUAGCUUCUAGAGAAUGAUUGUGAAAUUUCAUGUAAUUCUUUUCUGGGAGAAAUGAAAGUAAUUAAGAAGCUCCAAAGGUACCUAUUUAAUUAGCCUACUUGUAUCCUCAGAAGAAUCUUUAGUUGUAAAAAGUCUGAGGGAGCUUGCCCUUACUUAAUUGAAUCAGAACAUUUUUCACAUUUUGGAUUUCUCCCCACUCAUUUGGUUUAGCUCUCUUUUCCAGAAUGACUCACCAGAAAUUCUGGACUGUGUAGUUUCUUCUAAGUAAUAUUUUGUUGAAGCCUAUAAAUCUAUGGUUAAAUCUAAGAUCAAUAUCAAUCCUGUUUCGUUACCAGGAAGGCACUGAAUGCAUCUUUAUGAUAAGUAUGCAAAUUUGAAAAUUUAUCUCAUUGAUCUUUAAGAGUAAAGAAUUUAAUAUGCUGACAUCUACUGAACAGUUCAAAUGCAGUUUGAGAGCUGCUUAAUCUUCUUUUCAUGCGAAUGUUGCUAAACCACAGGUAUGGAGAGCUUGGCUCACAGAUAGAUUCUUCCUUCCCUGGAUAAUUGUAGUAUUUACUGAGAUGAACUUUUAUCUGUUUCAGCUUAAUAUUUCUUUGAAAGGGCAGUCCUAAUUUAGAAGCAAGUGAAUAAAAGGCAUCAUGCUUUUAAUUACUUUUAGAAAAUAACUUAAUUCUUUCCCCUUUGAGUACUCUAGAUUAAACUUUUUGGGGACAGACAAAGCAGAGGGGAGUUGCUGGUGAAGUGUUUUGAAGCCAAAUGUAAGUUAGCAAUCCUUUUAUGGAAUAAAGGAAAUUGAGAAAAACAGAACUGCCAUUUCAGCUCAAUAACUCUAGGACCUCCUAGUGAAACCAUUUUGAGACUGUUGAGUAGAAAUAGUUUAAAGGUCUGUUGUAAAAGAAACAAGAAUUUUAUUUAUUAAUUAGACUUAGCAGAGACUGCUUUGAUUUUUGCAGAAACGAAUAACCUUUUAUUCCUUGGUUAUAGUUAAAUCCUUAAGCUCAUUUGAUUUCCUGCUCCCCAUUCCAUUUCACUUGAAGAUUUCACCUCUGUUUACAGAUGUAAUAUCAUAAGCUAGUCCUGAAAAGGUUUUCAUUUCUCUUUUACUUUAGUUUAAAAAAACAAAAAAAGCAGAGUAACUUCUCUUAAAAUUAACACAUGACAGAGGGCAUUUUGUUUAUGUGUUUCCUACCUCAACCUCAGAUAAUUAAGACUGGCUUUUUGUUUGUUUUUUGGCUCCAUAGUGAGUCUUUAUAUUGUAAAAUAUUGGACUUUUAUGGUGAUUAUUUUCAGUUUUGCUACUUUACAGUUGAGAUUGGUUCAAAGGCAGAAUUUAUGACAGCAUUUGGGACUUUGCUGUCUAGCAUCUAUCAUACAUUAAUUCACCCUUGAUUAAUUUAGAAUUUCUGAAAAUGUGAAUCUACUAUUGAACUUUUUGACAUAGUGAAAAAAAUAUGCUAAACAAAAAUACAGUGUAAAAAAGAUAGGACAAGAAUACAUAAUUAGAGAUCAAAUAGUUUUCAAAGUUUUAAAAAUAGUUGCAAAUGUUCAAAGCAUUAUUUUUCAAUCAUUUUGAUAAGACAGUUUCAACUCAGUUAUUAAUUGUAGCAUUUAUCUUCCUAAGAAAUACUUGCUUUAGAUAACAUUUUUCAAGUAUUACAGUUUCUUAAAAAAACUUUUUUUUUUUCAGUGUAUUAAAUUAGCAUGCAUCUUAACCAAAUAAUACAGCAUGCAAAAAAUAGAGUUCUGCUCAUACCCUCCCCAACCAAGAUACUCAGUCAUCAGAGACAAGUAUUUGAACUUUGUGAGCUUUUUCUUUUGGUAUAUGUACUUGUAUAUCUAAAGAGCUUGUUGGCAUUUUUAUUUCCUGAUUUCUCAGUUUUAGACUAUGUUUAUUUAUUUAAGUCCCAGAGUGGAAGCUUUUUUAAACAAUCUGCACAUACAUAUAGAAACAUUUCCUCUAUCUUCAUUAUUUCAUUAGAGUUUAUUAUAACUUUUGGUUAAAAAUUCAGUUUUGGAGUUCCCCUUGAGGCUCAGUGGGUUAAGGACCCAACAUAGUCUCUGUAAGGAUGCAGGUUUGAUCCCUGGCCUUGCUCAGUGAGUGAUAGAUUCCAAGUUGUUGCAGCUGUGGUAUAGGUUGUAGAUGCAGCUGGAAUCCGGCAUUGCUAUGGCUGUGGCUUAGGCGGGAAGCUGCAGCUCUGAUACGACUCCUGACCCAUUAAUUUCUGUAUGCCACAGGUGUGGCUGUAAGAAGAAGAAAAAAAAAUUAUUUGGUUUUUACCUUAUUAUGAGUAUGUAAAUUUGUUUCUAUCUGAGCCAAAUACUAUGUACUAUGAAUAGAAUUGCUAUCUUGUGCUACUCUUUUUAUCUGGAGUUAAUAACUUGUUUUAUUACAUGUUUAAUUUGUAUGUCCCUGUAUAUCAUUCCAAGUUCUCCAGAAGUGCUCUAGAAUUCUCUAAGUACAAACACAUCAAAUAAAUCAAAUCGGGUAAUCCAGGUUCUUUUUCUUUUUCUUUUACUAUCAGCUUCUUAUUCCAUUCAGCAACAGCUAUCAGUUGAGAACUUUCAUCUCAUCUCAUCAUUCCAAAGUUCCCUUUGCUCUUCUCUUUGAUUUUUCUCUGUAUUGAUUUUGUUUACUCUUUUUCACCUAGUGGACUAUUUUAUGUGUAAUGCUCAUCUAUUCAGUUUUAAAUGCAGAACUAAAAUGUAAAUUUAAUGCUCAGAAUAAAAGAGUUGAUUGGGUGCUUAGUGUGUAAGGGUCAGCCUGAGAAUGAAACAGGCCCCGCACAGUGGGGGAGUCAUUUAAUUGUGGAUUCUUAAAUAUGAAUGUCUAGAGAUCAUUUAUACUGGGCUAAUUUUCCUAGAGCAGAAUCUUCUAAUCUUUUGCAGAAAAAUGGACUGGAGAAUUCCACUCUUGUUGAUGUCGACUUUGAUAUUUUGAUUUAUUGGGCAGAUCUUGGCAUGGUUAAUUGAGAUAAGAGAUGGAAGAAAGAAGUUUGUGGGAGACAGAUGUUGAAUUUGGUUUCAGAUACAUUACCCUUAAGGUUCUUUUGAAAUAUUAAAUAACAAUUUGUAGUAUAGGGCUGGAGUUCACCACAGAAGUCUGUUUUAAAUAUAUUGAGUCACUUGGAGUAGCUUAGCUCCCAUAUUGCAGAUGCUUAAAUAAGAGAUUUAUUUCACUUUUGUGGAAGAGCAUAGUGGAAGAAGGCAGCCUAGCCUGAAGUGAGCAAUAAAAAGUUACCCAGGUUCCUUUUAGACCGCAACUCUGCCAUCUCAGGGUGUGGCAUUCUCUUACAGGGUCCAUGAUUUCUGAUGUAGAUUCUUUAUCUCAGUGGUGUCUCCAGUAACAAAAUGGAGGAAGAGAGCAGAUAGCACAGCAUUUCCUUUUGAAAGAGACUUAGCCAGCCUCCAGUCCAUUUUGUUUAUAUCUCUUUCACCAGAAUUUAGUCCUAUCUCAUCAAACUACCAGGAAGCCCUGCAAAUGUGGUCUUUUAUUCUAUGUGGUAAUGUGGCAGGGUAAAAAAUGGCUUUCUAUAUUUAAAUAAAAAUAAGGGAAUGGAGGACCGAGUAUGAAUCUCAUAGUCCUAAAUUAAGUCAUUGGCAUAUAGAUUGCUUUUGGAAAUAUGGAUGUGUGAAUCACAGCAUGUAUAUUAAAAACUUAUUUUUAAGUCAGAUUUUUGUGAAUCAAGCAAUGAGUGGCAGAUGAGGCACUGAAGAGAAGUGGAGACAAAUCCUUCAAGAAGUUGGAUGAAAGAUUAGAGAGGUAGGACAGUGGUCUGAUAGCUUAGGUUUUCUGGGAGAAAACAGUAAAGUGCGUUAGGAAAGAAGCAAGUCAGAAAUGAAGGAUGUGCUAAGACUGAUGACCAGGAGUUCCCACUGUGGCUCAGUGGUAAUGAAUUUGACUAGUAUCCAUGAAGACGUGGGUUCAACCCAAGGCUUCGCUCAGUGGAUUAAGGAUCUGGCAUUCUCGUGAGCUGUGGUGUAGGUUGCAGACGCAGCUUGGAUCUGGCGUGGCUGUAGCUGUGGUGUAGGUCGGCAGCUGCAGCUCCAGUUCUACUCCUAGCCUUGGAAGUUCCAUACACUGCAGGUGAGGCC